rnacentral:rRNA from 1 species
GACGAACGCUGGCGGCGUGCUUAACACAUGCAAGUCGAACGGAAAGGCCCUGCUUUUGUGGGGUGCUCGAGUGGCGAACGGGUGAGUAACACGUGAGUAACCUGCCCUUGACUUUGGGAUAACUUCAGGAAACUGGGGCUAAUACCGGAUAGGAGCUCCUGCUGCAUGGUGGGGGUUGGAAAGUUUCGGCGGUUGGGGAUGGACGCGCGGCUUAUCAGCUUGUUGGUGGGGUAGUGGCUUACCAAGGCUUUGACGGGUAGCCGGCCUGAGAGGGUGACCGGCCACAUUGGGACUGAGAUACGGCCAAGACUCCUACGGGAGGCAGCGGUGGGGAAUAUUGCACAAUGGGCGGAAGCCUGAUGCAGCAACGCCGCGUGCGAGAUGACGGCCUUCGGGUUGUAAACCGCUUUCGCCUGUGACGAAGCGUGAGUGACGGUAAUGGGUAAAGAAGCACCGGCUAACUACGUG